AUGGAAUGCAACCUUAAAUGUGUCUUCUGGAAUGUCCGUGGCCGUAACUCGAGGGCCAAACAUUCUAUCAUUUGAUCGGUCAUCUCUGUUGCCUCCCCCAACAUUGUGUGCCUCCAAGAAACCAAGUUGGAGGUUGUCUCUCUCCACCUCGUCAUUGAGAAGCUUGGCCCCAACUUUCUGGAUUUCUUAUUUCUACCCGCGAUUUGCACUUGUGGUGGCCUCCUUCUCGCUUGGUGA
rnacentral:rRNA from 1 species